AGUUUGAGCAUUCUUUGGCAUUGCCUUUCUUUGGGAUUGGAAUGAAAACUGACCUUUUCCAGUCCUGUGGCCACUGCUGAGCUUUUCAAAUUUGCUGGCAUAUUGAAUGCAGCACUUUCACAGAAUCAUCUUUCAGGAUUUGGAAUAGCUCAACUGGAAUUCCAUCACCUCCACUAGCUUUGUUCGUAGUGAUGCUUUCUAAGGCCCACUUGACUUCACAUUCCAGGAUGUUUGGCUCUAGGUCAGUGAUCACACCAUCGUGAUUAUCUGGGUCGUGAAGAUCUUUUUUGUACAGUUCUUCUGUGUGUUCUUGCCAUACAGUAAACAGGGUUAUAAUUAUUGAUAUAAUAGUGAUGACUCAUGUUAAUGUAUCUAGUUGGCAUGUCACUAAGGGGAGAUUUUAACUCUCAGUCUUUAACUUAAAAGGUUAAUACUAUUCAGCUUCUUAAUGAGCUUAUAGUAUCAUUGCAGAUGCUUUCUCAAAGUAUUUUAGAAGGCAACUUUCCUGUUAACCUCCCAAUAAAUUAUUUUCUGUUUACCCAGAAUCAAUCACUAUUGCUUACAAGCAGGAAGUAUUGGACUGCCAUAUGAAAUGUGAAAGAAAGUGCCAGGAAAUGUCUCUUUCUGGUGCACUCCCUGGACAAAUACCAGUCAAGAAAAAUGCUGUGUCCCACAAUGGCCACAGCAACUGGGAAACCAUCUUAAGAAAUGACAUUUGGAUACCCAGAAAUGGAAUAUCUAUCUUCAGUCCAGCCAACAAGUUUACACGAUGCCAAGAAGGUAUUGGCUGUGCUUGAGUGUUCUCUAUUGCAUACUUGAUGGACACCCGAAAUCACGAGGUAGGUAUCUCGUUGUUUAGACUGUAUUAUUUGAGGUCAAGUGAGAUAGUCUCACCACAAGAAGGUCUCUUCAGGGGGUAUUCACUAGGAUAUCCCAAGUGUCCAUGGGCACCAGUGCCUCUGGGUCAGAAUGACAGAGACGGCCUUUGACCAGAAGAUACUUGCAUGGAAAGGCUGCUUUCCUCAUUGCUGUAGCCUUGUCACCACCACUCUAAAGGGGUAUGUAUGUCUGUGCAACACUCAUAUAAUGCACGGAAAUCUUUGAUGCUCACACCCAAUACGACACCUCUAGCACCUCAAAAAGGAGGUCUG
rnacentral:lncRNA from 1 species